CCACGAUGUGACCGCUUGGUUCAGCUGAUGUUCUUUGCUCUGCGCUGAAGGAGGAUUUAUUCUGGGAGCCUGAAUUCCCCCUGCCGUGCUUCUGGAGCUGCCACACUACAGGGGAAGAAAUAAGGAAAGGGCAAGGGACACCAACUACCCAAUUAAAAUCACUGAACAGUGACACUGGAAAUCCAAGUCAAGCUUUGUUUUCUGCUUUGAUCCCCAGAAGCCCACCUCUGUGAAGCAGGCCUCUUAUCUUCAUAUGCAACUGGAAAAAGCCUGCAUCAGCAAGAGAGCGUGGUCUGUGCUGCUCUGGUACCUGUAGCAUUCAACAAUAGGUGCUGCAAGCACAGGGCUGCUGCCGCUGCCAUUACCCUUGUGCCAGAAGUCUGUCAAGCAGCUGCUCUCUCUAAACUGCCCUGCUUAAUAGUGCCUUCCUUUUUUUCCUUCUGCCCCUCCGGGGACUCAUAUUUCUCACCUCCCACUGAAACACUUAUUGGAAAGUAUAUCCUUCACCUCUGGCCUCAGUGUCCCCUUCCCCAGGCUGGAAAAUCAUCGAUGAUGGGGGUGGAGGGUGGCAGCUUGUUCUCAGCUCAUCAAUCUAUCACACAUGUCACAAACCUCUGCAGAGGCGAGCUGGCUCCAACCCUCAUUUAUUUGCAAGUGCAGAGGAUGUUUGUGUUUGAUCGGAUAUGAUGGAUAAAUGAUUUCAAGCUGUGGGUUUCAUUUCAUCACUAAUCACAGAUACGGGUUGCAAUCCUGUUCAUGAUGUCAGCGGCUAAACUUCUAUUGACCUCCGUGGCAAGACGGGACACCGGUCACCCUGAAAUAAAUAAAUCAAAGGGGACACAGGAGGGGGAGAUGUAAGAUGACAAUGGCGCUGAUAUUAUCCUUAACUUUAAUCCUGGUCUGUGGAUUCACGUAUGAAAGCGAUACGUGCUUUCCUGUGUUACUAGGAGCUGUGAAGCAGGAACGUGUCAUUAAGGAGUCUCAACAUUCCAGAGAAGACAAAUCCCAGAAAUUUCCAAACGAGGCACAGAAUGCUCUUUUAACAUCAGUCAGACUUUGCUAACAGCUUUGUAAACUCUCUGCCUCCUGCACAAAGCCCACCUGUGGGGCUCCCUCCAUGCUGCUGGAAGUCACUCUGCAGUGCUCAGAGCUGCUGGCACAGCCUUCUGCCUCCAGCAUCAUUGCCUUCCCUUUUCCCCCGUGCACACAAAGUACCCAGACUCCCUUUCCAAUGGCAUGAAGACUCUCACUUCUCUUCAAGUCAUAUG
rnacentral:lncRNA from 1 species